AUGGAGAACGCCGAGUGGACAAGGCACCUGCCCGGUAAGCAGAAGGGUGUGGGUUCGAUUCCCGCCCCGGGACACUUUUUAUU